GAGACGGUGGAAUAUGUGGUGCUGGAGUGUGUGAAGUAUGCCAGAGACAGAAAUGAGAUGAUGCAAGUGAUGCUGACUGAGUUAGAGCAUGAUAGGAAUGAAAGAGUGGAGAAGACAGGAAAGGAUUGGAUGGUGUUGUUGCUGGGACUGUGUAGAGGGGAGAAUGAAAGGAUGAUUGAGGCGGUGAAAGAGUUUCUGGAGAGAAUGUGGCGUGCCACGUGUAUGAACAAUUAGGAUAGAGGAUGCUGUUCGUUUCUCUUUUCUUUUUCCCCUUCUACAGGAGUUGCCGAUCCAAAGGCCUGGCUUCGGAGUGAUCCUGAGCCACCUGUACCAUCAAGAUCAAGAUCAAGACUAACAAUUUCAAAGAAUUCCUGCUCUGUGUGUGUGUGUGUGUGUGUGUGUGAGGAGAGGGAAAAGAAUGGUCUCAAAAACCUACAUUUAUUUCCUAAGGAUGCCAAGAACGGUUCUGGUGGGUGAAAAGCCUGAAUGUAGCACGCCAGAAACACACCUAGGUGGUCUGUGAUGACCGUUUCCUCCUUGUUUCCUGGGAAGCAAGGGUCGUCUUCUCAGUAAUGCCAUCCCCAUGUCAUUCUCAGUGCAUUGGAAUUUGCUGAGAUGGCAGUCCCUGAGGUGGCAGUCCUUUACACGACAGCCACGGUGGUCACGGCAGUAGGACACUUGAAGGUGCAUAGAUGGCAGUCCUUGAGGUGGCAGUCCUGUACACGACAGCCACGGUGGUCACGGCAGUGGGACACUUGAAGGUGCAUAGAUGGCAGUCCUUGAGGUGGCAGUCCUGUACAGGACAGCCACGGUGGUCACGACAGUGGGACACUUGAAGGUCCAUAGAUGUGUAUAUACACACACCUUAAUUGUUUAUUACUUCUUAGUGUGUGCCAUAUUCCUUCCCAUAAAUAGCUGUUUAAUAAUUGUUUUCCUUCAAAUGAACAGUGCAAACAGAAUUGUGAGCACAUACAGUAAACAUCAAAUAACUUGGAACAUCUCAUCCCACAUUUCCCUUGCUGCAUAUUUACAUGUUAUAUUUGUACAGGCAGUUAUUUAUUUUAUACUCCU